UACGGAGGAUGCAAGCGUUGUCCGGAAUGAUUGGGCGUAAAGCGUCCGCAGGUGGCAAUGUAAGUCUGCUGUCAAAGCGUCUGGCUCAACCAGAUAAAGGCGGUGGAAACUACAUAGCUAGAGUAAGGUAGGGGUAGAGGGAAUUCCUGGUGUAGCGGUGAAAUGCGCAGAUAUCAGGAAGAACACCAAUGGCGAAAGCAGCUCUCUGGGACGGUACUGACGCUGAGACGCGAAAGCGUGGGGAGCGAACAGG
rnacentral:rRNA from 1 species